GCAGCCCCUUCUCACUACAGGAAGUCACUGCAGUCAAUUUAGAAAAGAUGAAACAAAAUAACUGAAUAACAACUACAAAUAACGUGUCAAAAAGGCUGAAGUAAGAGGGGAAGAUAAAGCAGAAAGAUGUCUCAGGAAUCCCUUUAAAGGAGCCACCAGUGUGCCCAGGGACCAGUGAGCAGCACCCAGAGACCAGGACUCGUCCCCUGCCCGGAGUCUGAGGAGCAGUGAACUGAAGAGCUGAUGCGUUCAGAAACCAAAGUGAAGGCUUGGCCCUCUGCAGGCCUCCAUCAUACAGACACACAGUGUCUGGCAAAGUGCUAGCAUUGGCCUCAAACAGACCCAGUUGCUGUGUGUUGCCUCUCUGUCUGCGCAGGAUGGAGUGCGGGAUGGAGGACUUUUACCAUGGCAACCACUAAUGCAGUAUAGAUGCAGGGACUGAGCCUGGGCUGCGGUUGUACUAAUACAGGAUUCAUGGAAGGCAGGUGUAAAUACUCGACCAGUGAACCCCUCCCGCUGCCAUGGUGCAACAUGAAUCCAGCUGGAAGAACAAGUGCUGCGUGGGCUCCCUGAAGUGCUGCUACACUGGGUCAUUGGAGAGCCACAACGUGUUUGGGAACAGAACAGUCUGUGUUAUUUCAGCACAGCCUGUUGGAUGAAGGGCCAUUUCACAGGCAUUAUGGAUUAAUCUUUGGCAGCAUCCCUUCAGGAUCAAACAAAAUUGAAUGUUUAACCUCAUGAGCUGAGAGGUCUCUUGUGAUAAACCAGGAUUGAGAGGAUUGAAUCUGACCCGCAUUGGGUUAAACAUCACAUACUUGUAAAUGUAUUUGAGCUAACUCCUGAUGAAAAGAUGAAAAUAUAGUGUGUACACACCUCCUUCCUCAGGUGAGUGUAAUCCAAACCCUGAAAAUGAUUUAAUUCAUAACAUUCCACUAAUUCAUCACUAUAUACACACAAAUAGAAGACAUUAAGGCCUCUGUCAUUCACUUGAUGUCUAACUUCUCCUCCAACAACAGAGAAAAUAAAACAUGUUAAGACUUUUGAGCAAGCCAUGCGAUCACCUGAUGUCCUGUUCAGGUAAAAAAGUGAUCUUUUCAAAUGAAUAGUUGUAUUUAUUACUCCAUCUUGCUGUUUAUAUUUGCUACACAGCUGCAACCUCCUAUAUCUUCCCUCACUUGUUAUAAACUGUUUGUGAUAUCGGGUAGUCUAGAAGUCUAGAGUCUAGAAAAGUCACCAAGUUCUGUUUGACAGGAGCAGUGAUUGAUGGGUCUAAUUGUAAUUUCCCCACUGGGGAUCAAUAAACAGUAAAAUUAUUAAAAUUAAAAAUUACACAGGCAUGGUGCAGUUUUACAUUUUACAUGCAGGAAUGCAUGUAAUACAUGUAAAAGAACAAAUAAUAAAAAGCAGUAUAGGCCUGGAGAUGUGAUGUGGAUAUAAUAAAUUCCUUGUAAACACCAAUAAAAUGGACUAUGCAAUAUGAAUGAAA